UACGUAGGGUGCGAGCGUUGUCCGGAAUUAUUGGGCGUAAAGAGCUCGUAGGCGGUGUGUCGCGUCGGCCGUGAAAACCUGGGGCUCAACUCUGGGCGUGCGGUCGAUACGGGCAUCACUUGAGUUCGGCAGGGGAGACUGGAAUUCCUGGUGUAGCGGUGAAAUGCGCAGAUAUCAGGAGGAACACCGGUGGCGAAGGCGGGUCUCUGGGCUGAUACUGACGCUGAGGAGCGAAAGCGUGGGGAGCGAACAGG
rnacentral:rRNA from 1 species